CCCUACGGGGCGCAGCCGUAGGGAAUAUUGCUCAAUGGGGGAAACCCUGAAGCAGCAACGCCGCGUGGAGGAUGAAGGUUUUCGGAUUGUAAACUCCUUUUGUUAGAGAAGAUAAUGACGGUAUCUAACGAAUAAGCACCGGCUAACUCCGUGCCAGCAGCCGCGGUAAUACGGAGGGUGCAAGCGUUACUCGGACUCACUGGGCGUAAAGAGCGCGUAGGCGGGAUAGCAAGUCAGAUGUGAAAUCCUAUGGCUUAACCAUAGAACUGCAUUUGAAACUGUUAUUCAAGAUUAUGUGAGAGGUA
rnacentral:rRNA from 1 species